UAAUCAGCAGUCUGUUCAGAUGUUCCGGACCUUUGCAGGGAUGGUGUUUUUCCACUGCUAGGAGCUCCCCUCCCACACUUUGGCUAUCGCUGUUGCCUGUGGUGAUCACAAGUUAUGGUGCUAUUGUAAGGAGCUGCCAAAGCACCAGAAGAAUCUCAGGAGGAUUAAAAGAUGACAGAUCCGGAAGGGACCUGAGGCCCUUGAAUCCAACCUCCUCAUUAACAGAUAAAGAGACUGAGGCCCAGAGAGGUUAACUGACUGCCCAAAGGCACACAGGUCCAGUGCUCUGUUCACGGUACCACCUUGAGG